rnacentral:lncRNA from 1 species
CUGUACUUCUUUGUAUUCCUUCUUUGUCUUUCCAUGUCUGAAAAUUUUGCAAAUAGACCUCUUAAGUUCCUUUGAAAAUUUCUUAUUAUUUUGAUGAUAUGAAUGCAAAUGGGUGCAUGAAUGCAUGAGUGCAACAAUCACACUCAAGGAUCAAGCAAAGCACACCAAACAAAGGUCAUGGGAUGGAUCAUGUUAUCCUUAAUAUCAACCAUCCAUUUUGGUGGAUUAUGGUUUACACCUUAUCAACACCCAAGCUCCAUUGAUAUUAAGGAU